rnacentral:misc_RNA from 1 species
UUGAAAGUAAAAUGUAGCUGGUUGUAGCUGGUCUCUCUGAGGCAUGUGCUCGCCUUCUGCGCUUUCCCUUUUCCACCUGUGAACUACUGUAGACCGUGGAUAGACUCUCGCUGCACGCAGCGGAUUUGAGGCUCGCACUUGUGCUUGCUUCUACAUAUCUACUGGUCUAUGUUAUACAUACACUUUUAAAAAGAACAUCGAAUGUCUGUUUACUGGUCUAUGACCUUUAAAUGAAAUA